CCAAAGCUGGAAAUAACCUGUCUACACUUUAAAGUGUUUGAUACUUUAAGUAUCAUUAAUCAUUUUACUUUUGUCCCUCAGGAUGUGCAAGUUUCAAAUUUGUGACAAUUUUUUGUUUUACCUGCCUGUAUAUGUUUUUCAACUUGUGAAAUACUUUCACUUCUAUUCCACAAAUAUAUUUGGAUUCAAGAGAGCUGGGAAGGAAUGAGUCAUGUUUAGGAAAUACUGUUAAAUGAAAACAGGUUUUAAACUCUGCAGGCAGAAUUUUAAAAAUAUAUGCAGGAAAUACAAUUGUGCUAAAUUAACCAGUUGUGUCACAGGUGAUCAAAGUACAUGAGAAUGUCUUGCAAUUAACACUGAGAAUGUUGGUUGGGGAAAGAUCACACAUUUGGACUUCAGAAAACAGAAAUUCUGGGUUCUGGGCCUUUCAUCUGUUCCUUCCUCCCCCUCCCCUAUCUUGAACCCCCAUCAAUACUGUGUAACCUUAGAGACACCACAUAACUACUAUGGUUGAUUGCAGAAGAAAGAACCUAAGCUGUUAGAAAGCAGGUAAUCUCCUGCUCUAAGAUUUUAGAUUCAAAGCAGGAGCUCACAUAUGAAAUGAAAGCAGAGUUUCAUUCUCUGAGCCAACCUUUUCUCCCUCAUAUGUAACUAGUUUGUUUUAACAACCCUCUUGCUCAGAGCAAAAAGGUGAUGGGCAGCUCAGCCUCUGCGUCCACGUUCACCACUCUAAAUUCCCCCUUGAUGACCCUGCCUGCAUCUAGAAAGCUUACCUUACUGGCACGGGCUGAGUCAGCAUGUGCUGCACCUGCGUCCCUGGGCUGUGAGCAGGCAGACUGCCGGAGGUGGCUGGGCGUGCAUCGGCUGCUGCAGAGGACCGAAUUCUGUCGUGGAGGCUUUAUGAAGCUCUAUUCACUCCUCUGGGAAGAGGUUCAUAAAAAUGAGAUAUAACUAAAGAUGUGGAGACAAUUGAAAAACUAUGGAAUAUUUUUUUUAAAUGGCAAUGGAGAGAAGGAAAUUUUCUAAGAACACAUGAUUAAGAAAAUUUGCUGAAAAAGAGCUGUAGACACUGAAUAGACUAAUAACAACCUCCCCAAAACAUAGGUAAGUUAUAGAAUUCAAGCCAAUGCUGUGCUAAUUCUCCUGUUAUAUGCCCAUUUCAGUACAAGGAGGAAAUCUUCACUUGGGCCUCGUUUAUGUAUUUGAAGUUCCUAACAUCAAUACUAAAAUCAGACAAGAAAAAACACUAUCAGUAAAACUAUAAGACUAACACCACUUAUGACCAUACAUGGAAAUACCUUUUAUAAAAUGUAUUUAACAUAAUCACAUAUUUGUUGUUGUUGAGUCACUAAGUCAUGUCUGACUCUUCUGUGACCCCACGGAUUGUAGCCCACCAGGCUCCUCUGUCCAUGGGAUUUCCCAGGCAAGAAUACUGGAGGGGGUUGCCAUUUCCUUCCCCAAGGGAUCUUCAAUCUUUCUGACCCAGAGAUGGAAGCUGAGUCUCCUGAAUUGGCGGGUGGAUUUUCUCCAUUGAGCCACCAGGGAAGCACAAUCACAUAUAAAAAUGUACAUAUGCCUAAACUUAUAGUAUCUAAUUUAAUUUUAAAGUUCAUAGACAAGUAUUUUAAAUCAAAUAUAUAAAAUAUUGGGC
rnacentral:lncRNA from 1 species